UACGUAGGUGGCAAGCGUUGUCCGGAAUUAUUGGGCGUAAAGCGCGCGCAGGCGGUCUUUAGGUCUGAUGUGAAAGCCCACGGCUCAACCGUGGAGGGUCAUUGGAAACUGGGGACUUGAGUGCAGAAGAGGAGAGCGGAAUUCACGUGUAGCGGUGAAAUGCGUAGAGAUGUGGAGGAACACCAGAGGCGAAAGGCGGCUCUCUGGUCUGUAACUGACGCUGAGGCGCGAAAGCGUGGGGAGCAAACAGGAUUAGAUACCCCGGUAGUC
rnacentral:rRNA from 1 species